UAAUAAAACAAGGCCCAAAAGGGAAGGCCCAACCAGCCAUGCUAUGUAAAAAAUAAGGGCCCAAGUCCAUGAUUUAAUUAGGUAAUAGUAUAUAUGGUUAUACAUAUCCAUAGAAGGUUCAAGAAAGGAAGAAAAAUCAAGAAAAAGAGAACAAGACCAUUUCGGGUUUGAGAGGAGAAAAAGAAAGAAAAGAAAGAAAAAUUUUGGAGCCUAAUCCUUGAGUUUAAAAUUCAAUUCUUGUGGGAAUACUACUAAGUGCAAAGUCCUCUACAACUUGGUACAAUUAGUUUGGCAAGAGGACAAGUUUAGUGCCAAGUGAAGAACUUGAAGAAAGAUUUUGGACGAAAUUGAAGUCGACGCCAAGCGAGCGUAAGGCGCUAUCGAGGUACAGACGCACCAGGUGAUACGCCGCCAGCGUAGGGUUCUAAUUCUGCUGUUUGAAGAGCUCCUUUGAUCCGGAGCGUAUACUUUUGGUAUAUAUCUUCUGUCUUCUGUAUACUCUGUAUGUAUGGAUAUUCUGGGUACGGCGGGGCCCUGUCCCGUCAUAUGAUUUUGUAUGUCUGUAGAGGCCUGUAGAUAGAUGUGUGGGUUA